UAGGGAAUCUUCCACAAUGGACGAAAGUCUGAUGGAGCAACGCCGCGUGAAUGAAGAAGGCCUUCGGGUCGUAAAAUUCUGUUGUCAGAGAAGAACGUGCGUGAGAGUAACUGUUCACGUAUUGACGGUAUCUGACCAGAAAGCCACGGCUAACUACGUGCCAGCAGCCGCGGUAAUACGUAGGUGGCGAGCGUUGUCCGGAUUUAUUGGGCGUAAAGGGAACGCAGGCGGUCUUUUAAGUCUGAUGUGAAAGCCUUCGGCUUAACCGAAGUAGUGCAUUGGAAACUGGAAGACUUGAGUGCAGAAGAGGAGAGUGGAACUCCAUGUGUAGCGGUGAAAUGCGUAGAUAUAUGGAAGAACACCAGUGGCGAAAGCGGCUCUCUGGUCUGUAACUGACGCUGAGGUUCGAAAGCGUGGGUAGCAAACA
rnacentral:rRNA from 2 species